CGUUCUUAUUGGCGCUUCCCAGGCGAGGCGCUGAUUGGAUGUUGCCGGGUGACGGUCGUUAGGGCGCGUGAGGGAGUUUUCUGGGAAGCGGGAAAGAGGCGGCGGCGGCGGCCUGUGCUCAGUUGAGGUGGAGAAAGAGGCGCCGAAGGGCGACGUGUGGAAGUCGCUCCCCUCACCCUGGAUGCGUGCAAACGCUUUUUCCUUCUCUGGCAGAUACGCCUAAGCACAUAUAAUCAGUACUGUACAGGUCUGUUCCAGUGCUGUUGACAGCCAUGCCAGAAAAUGGCUGGAAGGAUGUGGCUGGGGAGUAGACUGAAGACAAUGUUGCAGUCAGCCCCAGCUGCUCAUCUGUCUCACAAACCACAAUGCACUUGGCAGAAACUUGGAGUGCAAUUCUGGAGAAUAACCACAGAUAACCAACAGCCCAGUUUGGGCACAAUGCUAGCUAAACGAACCUUGAACUCAAGCAUUCCUCCUUCGGCAUGGCCACUAGCAGAAGAUUAGGAACACUCACUUCCUGGUUUAAGCUAACCAAUUUUGACUUAUAUCUAGCCUUUGAACUCAGUUGAAACUGUGGUUUGUUGCAUUAAACUAGAAUAAUAAACUAUGGUUUGACCCAG